rnacentral:misc_RNA from 1 species
GAUGAAGAACGCAGCGAAAUGCGAAAAGUAAUGUGAAUUGCAGAAUUCAGUGAACCAUCGAAUCUUUGAACGCACAUUGCGCCCGCUGGAACUCCGGCGGGCACGCCUGUCCGAGCGUCAUUUCAACCCUCAGGCCCCCCUUCGCGGGCGGGCCUGGUGUUGGGGCCCGGCCGCUACCCUGCGGCCGUCCCCUAAAUUCAGUGGCGGCCUCGCCGUGAUCCCUUGCGUAGUAAUGCACCUCGCACCGGAGAGCGCCGUGGCCACGCCGUAAAACCCCCAAUUUUCAAUGGUUGACCUCGGAUCAGGUGGGAAUACCCGCUGAACUUAAGCAUAUCAGUAAGCGGAGGA